GACGAACGCUGGCGGCGUGCUUAACACAUGCAAGUCGAACGAAGAGCGAUGGAAGCUUGCUUCUAUCAAUCUUAGUGGCGAACGGGUGAGUAACGCGUAAUCAACCUGCCCUUCAGAGGGGGACAACAGUUGGAAACGACUGCUAAUACCGCAUACGAUCUAAUCUCGGCAUCGAGGAUAGAUGAAAGGUGGCCUCUACAUGUAAGCUAUCACUGAAGGAGGGGAUUGCGUCUGAUUAGCUAGUUGGAGGGGUAACGGCCCACCAAGGCGAUGAUCAGUAGCCGGUCUGAGAGGAUGAACGGCCACAUUGGGACUGAGACACGGCCCAGACUCCUACGGGAGGCAGCAGUGGGGAAUCUUCCGCAAUGGACGAAAGUCUGACGGAGCAACGCCGCGGGAGUGAUGACGGCCUUCGGGUUGUAAAGCUCUGUUAAUCGGGACGAAAGGCCUUCUUGCGAACAGUUAGAAGGAUUGACGGUACCGGAAUAGAAAGCCACGGCUAACUACGUG
rnacentral:rRNA from 1 species